rnacentral:rRNA from 1 species
GGGCAAUCUGCCCUGCACUCUGGGACAAGCCCUGGAAACGGGGUCUAAUACCGGAUACUGACCCUCACGGGCAUCUGUGAGGUUCGAAAGCUCCGGCGGUGCAGGAUGAGCCCGCGGCCUAUCAGCUUGUUGGUGAGGUAAUGGCUCACCAAGGCGACGACGGGUAGCCGGCCUGAGAGGGCGACCGGCCACACUGGGACUGAGACACGGCCCAGACUCCUACGGGAGGCAGCAGUGGGGAAUAUUGCACAAUGGGCGAAAGCCUGAUGCAGCGACGCCGCGUGAGGGAUGACGGCCUUCGGGUUGUAAACCUCUUUCAGCAGGGAAGAAGCGAAAGUGACGGUACCUGCAGAAGAAGCGCCGGCUAACUACGUGCCAGCAGCCGCGGUAAUACGUAGGGCGCGAGCGUUGUCCGGAAUUAUUGGGCGUAAAGAGCUCGUAGGCGGCUUGUCACGUCGGUUGUGAAAGCCCGGGGCUUAACCCCGGGUCUGCAGUCGAUACGGGCAGGCUAGAGUUCGGUAGGGGAGAUCGGAAUUCCUGGUGUAGCGGUGAAAUGCGCAGAUAUCAGGAGGAACACCGGUGGCGAAGGCGGAUCUCUGGGCCGAUACUGACGCUGAGGAGCGAAAGCGUGGGGAGCGAACAGGAUUAGAUACCCUGGUAGUCCACGCCGUAAACGGUGGGCACUAGGUGUGGGCAACAUUCCACGUUUGUCCGUGCCGCAGCUAACGCAUUAAGUGCCCCGCCUGGGGAGUACGGCCGCAAGGCUAAAACUCAAGGAAUUGACGGGGGCCCGCACAAGCGGCGGAGCAUGUGGCUUAAUUCGACGCAACGCGAAGAACCCUUACCAAGGCUUGACAUACACCGGGAAGCAUUCUAGAGAUAGGUGCCCCCCCUUUGUGGUCGGUGUACAGUGGGUGCAUGGGCUGUCGUCAGCUCGUGUCGUGAGAUGUUGGGGUUAAGUCCCGCAACGAAGCGCAAUCCAUGUCCGGUGUUGCCAGCAGUCCUUGGUGGUGCUGGGGACUCCACGGAGACGCUUGGUU